rnacentral:rRNA from 1 species
GACGAACCGUGCGAACGUUGUUCGGAAUCACUGGGCUUAAAGGGCGCGUAGGCGGCUCGCGGGGUCGGGGGUGAAAUCCCGCAGCUUAACUGCGGAAGGGCCUCCGAUACCGGCGGGCUGGAGGAAGGUAGGGGUGCGCGGAACUUCUGGUGGAGCGGUGAAAUGCGUUGAUAUCAGAAGGAACGCCGGCGGCGAAAGCGGCGCACUGGACCUUUUCUGACGCUGAGGCGCGAAAGCUAGGGGAGCAAACGGG